rnacentral:rRNA from 1 species
CCUGCUCAAUGAAAUUUAAUAGCCGCUUUAUAUAAGUGCUAAGGUAGCAUAAUCAUUAGUCUAUUAAUUAUAGAAUAGAAUGAAAGGAUUAACGAGUUAAGAACUUUAUUUUAUCUUCAUCAUGAAUCUUAUAUAAAAGUAAAAAAGCUUUUAUUUACAGAAAAGACGACAAGACCCUUUAGAACUUAACUCAAAGUUUAACUGGGACGGUUAUCAUAAAAACUAAUCUACUAAAUAAAAAUAACUUAAGCUAUAUAAUAUAAAAAGUUACCUAAGGGAUAACAGCAUAAUUUUAUUAUAAAGAUCUUAUUUAAAAUAAAUAUUAUGACCUCGAUGUUGAAUUACUAAACUAGUAGUAGAAAAUUACUUCAAAGUAAGUCUGUUCGACUUUUAAACCAGUACAU